UGGGGAAUAUUGCGCAAUGGGGGAAACCCUGACGCAGCGACGCCGCGUGUGGGAUGAAGGUCUUCGGAUUGUAAACCACUGUCGCGAGGGACGAAGCUCUGACGGUACCUCGAAAGGAAGCACCGGCUAACUCUGUGCCAGCAGCCGCGGUAAUACAGAGGGUGCGAGCGUUGUCCGGAAUCACUGGGCGUAAAGGGCGCGUAGGCGGCCCGGUAAGUAGGGGGUGAAAUCUCAUGGCUCAACUGUGAGGCUGCCUUCUAGACUGCCAGGCUUGAGCACAGUAGAGGCGAGUGGAAUUCCCGGUGUAGCGGUGGAAUGCGUAGAUAUCAAGAGGAACACCUGAGGUGAAGACGGGUUGCUGGGCUGACACUGACGCUGAGGCGCGAAAGCCAGGGGAGCAAACGGGAUUAGAUACCCAGGUAGUCCCUGAGCGGGCUGGCAAGGCGCAU
rnacentral:rRNA from 1 species